UGAUGAGCUUCGGUCGUAAACUCUGUGUUAGGAGACAGUGCUAGUGAUAGCUGCACUGACGUACUACAGAAGCACGCUACUACGUGCAGCAGCGCGUAUACGUAGUGCAGCGUAUCUGACUAUUGGCGUAAAGCGCCGCGCAAGUGGUUUCUUAAGUCUGAUGGUGAAAGCCCACGGCUUCAACCGUGGAGGGGUCAUUGGAAACUGGGAGACUGAGUGCAGAAGAAGGAAAGUGGAUUCCCAUUGGUAGCGGUGAAAUGCGUAGAGAUAUGGAGAACCACCGUGGCGAGGCGACUUUUCUGUUCUGUACUGACCACGAGCCGGGAAGCGUGGGGAGCAACCAGGAUAAAAACCUUGGUAGUCCACGCCGUAACGAUGAGGCCUAAUGGUAGGGGGGUUUCGCCCUUUAGUGCUUGAAGUUACGCCAUUAGCCAUUCGCCUGGGGGGGACCGGCGGCAAGCUGAAAAUUCAAAGGAUUGACGGGGGGCCCGCACAAGCGUUGAAGCAUGUGGUUUAUUCCGAAGCAACGCGAGGAACCUUACAAGGUCUGGCCUUCCUCGGCCAACCUUAGAGUUAGGGUUCCUCUUUCGGGAGCAGAGUGCAAGGUGGUCCAUGGUGGUCUUCACUCCUGGUGUUGGGAUGUUGGGUUAAUUCCCGCAACGAGCCCAACCCUUGUUUUUAGUUCCCUUCAUUUAGUUGGCCAUCUUAAGGGGACUCCCGGGGCCAAACGGGAGGAAGGUGGGGAGGAGGUCAAUUCUUCAUCCCCCUUAUGCCUUGGGUUCCCCACGUGUUCCAUUGGCCGGUCCAAGGAGUGCCAGGACCGGGAGGGGGAGUUAUUUUCAUAAACCCUUUUUCAGUUCGGAUUUUAGGUUCCAAUUGGCUUCCAGGAAGCGGGAAUCCUUGGUAAUCGGGGAUCACCAGGCCGCGUGGAAUACGUUCCCGGCCUUGGUCCCCACCCCCCGCCCCCCCACGGGAGUUGUACCACCGGAAGUCGGUGGGGUACCCUUUGAGCCAGCCGCUAAGUG
rnacentral:rRNA from 1 species